UUUUGGUUCUAAAGUUUGAUAAACACUGCAAUUUUUUCAGUUCAGAAAAAUGUUCAAAUUUGUAAAAAAAUAAUUAUUUAGUAAAAGAUUUUCAUUGAAAAUAAUUUUUUCCAAAAAGUGCAUAUAACUAGAUCUUUCAAAAUUACUUUCAAUUAAUUUUAAAUAAUUUUUUGUUUAUGUUAAUAGCCAUUUUCACCACCCUCCAUAAAAAAUGCAACCUAAAAUAUUUUUUCCAGCUUGACUCAAAUCGAAAAGUUACUUAUGUUUCAUGUACAUCCUAAUAUAGUUUAUAAAUUUGGUCGACGUAGUAUAUCACAAAUAGAUUUAAUCGUCAGAAACAAUUAAAUGUCAUUUUUUUCUAAUGUAAACAUUUGACAACAAGUAUCCAACGAAAAAUGCGCCACAUUGCCACUAGAGGCGGCACCGUGUUAAAUGUUGUACUUUCAUUUAUGCACAAGAAAUUGAAAAUUCAUUACGAUAAACGACGUCAGGAAGUAAAAUAAGAAAUUUUUUUCUAACCGUCAGGUGCUGUCCAAGACGGUAAAUUUCAGUACUACGAAAAUAUUUAAAUACUCUUCCUAUUUUACUUCCUGUCGUUUUAUAUGUGAAUAAAUUUUUAAUUUCUUGGAGGCAAAUGAAAGUACACAAAUUCAGGAUAACUGGUAUUUUUUCCGAUUUUCACAUUUUCUUUCCGAAUUGGGAGAAUAAUAUUUUUCAAAUUAAAUGUACCUUAUUUUUAAGACAACCACUGCUUAUGCCAUUGCGGAACACCGUUAAUCUGAAUGACACCCAGAAGAGAGGGCGCUGUUUAGCGACGCUUUCGGGCUUGACUUGUCAGCCAUUUUACUCUCAUUCUCAUCCUGGUAUCAGUUCAGAGUGGUUGUGUUUUUCCCCAUUCUUUCUUUUCGUUCAAAAACUAAAUUUAAAAAUGUAAAAAUUAAUAAAUUGUGCGACUAGGUGUCAUCGUCCACGCGUCACAUGGGCGGUGAGUCUCCAAUUUAAUUAUAGAUGAGUCGUCCUCCUUCCGAGUCUAUCUCAUUAUUUAUUAAAAACUAAAUAAAGAAUUGAAUAGUAAAUUUCGAAAAAGGCUCAACUGGAAAAAGCGUAAGCGUCAUUUUCGCAUAACAGUCGAUAGUGAAAAUGACUUACGGUUUUCGCAGAGUUGAGUCCUUUUCGAAAUUUAGGAUUCAGAUAUAAAUCUUGUUUAAUGGGCCUUCUGCCACUUUUAUAAAAUUAAACUUUUCUAAAUUCCUGAGCUGGUUUAGUUUUUCCUAAUUAAAUUAAUAUAAUUCGACGCCUCCCGUUCAUAUAAUGCUUAUUGAAAUAACAAAACAAGACGAUGCUUAUUUAGAAUUGGGUGCAAUAUCAUUCCCAUCAAAAUUACAGUGCAAGACAAUGCCUAUUCAAAAUCGCGUGCAAAACAAUUCCUACUGAAGGUAGCGAAUAAUAUGAUGCUUAUUCAAAUUUAAGUGCAAGAUAAUUCUUAAUUAAAAUUUUCUAAAAAAGUAUUCUUAUUUAAUGUGGUUUCUAAGAAGAGGUUACUGGUGAACAUGGGAGGGUCACGGUGGUUCAGGAAUCCAUAUGAAAAAAUUUGAUCACCUUCCGACAAAUCUACAUUGAAAAUGUUGAAAAUAAAAUUAUUUUUUACAAACAUUA